GAGGGUUUUUUUUGGCCACAAAAUAUUUGUAAACUUGGCCACAAAUGGGGGGAUUUCUUGUAGUGAUUAUUUUUGCUAUAAAUAGCAUUGAUACAAUCAACCCUAACAAACCCUAGCCGCCGAAUCCAGUUACCAUCUCACCCUCUCUGUGAAAACAUCGUCUUCACCCUUUCUUCUUCCUCUCGAACCUUAAGCUUCAUUCUUUCUUCUUCUUCUCAAAUCUUAGGCUUCACAAAAUAAAUUAAAAACACAACAUUUUGACGACUACUAUGAGAAUUCCUAUUUUGACUGAAAAUGUUCUCUCACCACAACAAUGAGACAACUGAAAGGCGAUGCAAUUACUUGUGGUAUUUUAAAGAAAGACAAGAGAGAGAACCAAAAGGGUGAAUGUUCAAUUGUUGUCAUUCUAGUUCGAUAAAAACCUAAAAUUUAAAUUAAUCAGACCCAGGUCUGGUCUGGCAACCUAUUUUGUUUCGUUAUUAAACCCAUUCAUUGUGGAUUGUGUACUCUUUCGUACCACCAUCGUGUACUUAAACCGAACUGGUA
rnacentral:lncRNA from 1 species